UGGCAGGACUGACGGCCUCCGUCUCGAGAUCUGGUCUCCUCGGCUUGGCCCACUCCUGGCUUCCGGGCCCGCAGACACCACCGCCUGCCUCCUGCACCUACAAGCGGGAGGACGACGCGCCAGCUGCUGCCGGCCUCCCGGCGUGCCCAUGAUCACCCUGUGCCUUUCGACUCUGCGAGGCCUCCACAGGCUGGAAGUGGUAGAGCUGUCAAAUGAAGCUAUCCCUGGAAAUGAAGUUCUGUUUUUCACUCACUGGAAAAGCAAGAAGAGAGAAUAGAUUUCCAUUAUAAAGCAGCUAGCUUCUCUUAUCUUAACUUUUUAAUGCUGAGCCCCCUUUACCUUUAAAAGAAAUUGCUGAAAACCUAGGAACAUUAAUUUUGUUCUUGCUGAUUAUAUCUACCAAUAGUUAACCAUAUGUAAUUAAAACUGAAACGUUCA
rnacentral:lncRNA from 1 species